rnacentral:tRNA from 1 species
GUUUAAAUUUUUAAAGUUUUUGAAACUUUUUUUUGUUUUUCAAAAA